rnacentral:rRNA from 1 species
GACGAACGCUGGCGGCGUGCUUAACACAUGCAAGUCGAACGGAAAGGCCCUGCUUUUGUGGGGUGCUCGAGUGGCGAACGGGUGAGUAACACGUGAGUAACCUGCCCUUGACUUUGGGAUAACUUUAGGAAACUGGGGCUAAUACCGGAUAGGAGCUCCUGCUGCAUGGUGGGGGUUGGAAAGUUUCGGCGGUUGGGGAUGGACUCGCGGCUUAUCAGCUUGUUGGUGGGGUAGUGGCUUACCAAGGCUUUGACGGGUAGCCGGCCUGAGAGGGUGACCGGCCACAUUGGGACUGAGAUACGGCCCAGACUCCUACGGGGGGCAGCAGUGGGGAAUAUUGCACAAUGGGCGGAAGCCUGAUGCAGCAACGCCGCGUGCGGGAUGACGGCCUUCGGGUUGUAAACCGCUUUCGCCUGUGACGAAGCGUGAGUGACGGUAAUGGGUAAAGAAGCACCGGCUAACUACGUG